CAGUAGCCACGGUAUACGAAGGGGGCUAGCGUUGUUCGGAAUCACUGGGCGUAAAGAGCACGUAGGCGGAUCUUUAAGUCAGAGGUGGAAUCCCGAGGCUCAACCUCGGAACUGCCUUUGAUACUGGGGAUCUCGAGUCCGGGAGAGGUGAGUGGAACUGCGAGUGUAGAGGUGAAAUUCGUAGAUAUUCGCAAGAACACCAGUGGCGAAGGCGGCUCACUGGCCCGGAACUGACGCUGAGGUGCGAAAGCGUGGGGAGCGAACAGGAUUAGAUACCCCGGUAGUCCCUGUCUCUUAUACA
rnacentral:rRNA from 1 species